rnacentral:rRNA from 1 species
GGGGAAUAUUGCGCAAUGGGGGAAACCCUGACGCAGCAAUACCGCGUGAGUGAAGAAGGUUUUCGGAUCGUAAAGCUCUGUUAUUGGGGAAGAAAAAAAGACGGUACCCAAGAAGAAAGUCCCGGCUAACUACGUGCCAGCAGCCGCGGUAAUACGUAGGGGACAAGCGUUGUCCGGAUUUACUGGGCGUAAAGGGCACGCAGGCGGUUUUUUAAGUCAGAUGUGAAAGGUACCGGCUCAACCGGUGACAUGCAUUUGAAACUGCAUUUCUUGAGUGAAGUAGAGGUUGGCGGAAUUCCUAGUGUAGCGGUGAAAUGCGUAGAUAUUAGGAGGAACACCAGUGGCGAAGGCGGCCAACUGGGCUUUAACUGACGCUGAGGCUCGAAAGCGUGGGGAGCAAACA